AUCAUCAGAAGUGAUCAAAAUAUGGGGAAGACUCUAAAAUAUGUUUAUUUGUUUGCUGCCUAUUUUUUGUUCACUUUCCUUGCCGACGCAACUGAUGAGUCACAAGUCCAUUACUCGGUCACCCCACAUAGCCUAGGAGAAGAUAAUCAUGGUGCACAUGAAGAUGUCAUAGGUUAUUGGAAGCAAAAGUUUCCAAAUAGAUAUUUUCUUUUGAGGUGGCUGCCGUGUAGCAAUAACUUCAUCUGUAUGAAGAGAUGCAUGAAAAUAUUACCGAAGACGCUACAAUUACAUUAUGGUAAAUGUGUGCAAGGUGUUUUUGGAACCCGAUGUGUUUGUAUGCCGUUGGCCCGUACUUAGAUAUGCAUCUAGAGAAAUGCUAUUCAAAUACUUUCUUUUACGCUCUCAAGUGCUUACUCCUUAAUGUAACAAUUGUCACGUCAAUUUUUUACUACAUGGUAUUUUAAUACGAUCUACUUUAUUUCUGCAACGGCCACGUUAUGGAAUAAGCACAGAGAAACUCCGUGUAGCAUUUCUCAAGAAUUUACAUUUUAUAUGAAUAUCUAAAACUAGUUACCUAUUAUUGGCAAUAUGUACAAUCAUAAAUAAAUUUUUAAUAAUUAGGGUUUCUUUCCAAGUUAUUAUAGCAUACCCAAGAAAAUGAUCAUAUGGGUUUCCCAAGGUUUAAGGAUGUAAACCUAAAGAUGUUUGUACUUGUUACUUUUUCGCAUGUAAUACAAGUUUUAUGUAUAAAUAAAGUUGCUCGUGCGACAUCUUUAUCACU